rnacentral:piRNA from 1 species
GCAAAGAGUAGGGUAAGGAUGGAUAC